rnacentral:rRNA from 1 species
GGAUAACCUGCCCUAUUGUCUGGAAUAACCUCGGGAAACUGAGAACAAGGCCGGAUAACCCACAAUGCCUGGAACGGUUUGUGGGUGAAGAUAGGAUGGGUCUGCGGCGUAUCAGGUCGUAGGGGGUGUAAUGGACCUCCUAGCCAUCGACGCGUACGGGUGUUGGGAGACAUAGCCCGGAGAUGGAUUCUGAGACACGAAUCCAGACCCUACGGGGUGCAGCAGGCGCAAAAACUUCACACUGCAGGAAACUGUGAUGAGGGAACUCCAAGUGCAUCCACUAUGUGGAUGCUUUUUUUGACUAUUAAUCGGUCAACGAAUAAGGGCUGGGAAAGACCGGUGCCAGCCGCCGCGGUAAUACCGGCAGCUCAAGUGGUCGUCGCUUUUAUUGGGCCUAAAACGUCCGUAGCCUGUUUGGUAAAUCUGUGGGUAAAUCAACCAGCUUAACUGGUUGAAUUCUGCAGAGACUGCCAGACUAGGGACCGGGAGAGGUGUGGGGUACUCUAGGGGUAGGGGUAAAAUCCUGUCAUCCUUAGAGGACCACCAGUUGCGAAGGCGCCACACUGGAACGGAUCCGACGGUCAGGGACGAAGCCUAGGGGCACGAACCGGAUUAGAUACCCGGGUAGUCCUAGGUGUAAACGCUGUGAACUUGGUGUCGGGGAUCCGCAAUGGGUCCUCGGUGCCGGAGUGAAGAUGUUAAGUUCACUGCCUGGGGAGUACGGUCGCAAGGCUGAAACUU